AGUCCUGCACGUUGAUGAUUUUGUUACGGAUCAAGGACUGGAGAAAGACACACACGAGACGCACCAGACGAUUCUGAAAAAGAAACUAAUUUUAGUGUGCGUUUUCUGGGCAGGUCUACACUUAGCAUUACACGUGCAAUACGCAUUGAGCACCAUGUCCCUGUGUGUUCCUGGCUGAAUCAGAAUUCAUAGUUAUCGUCCAAGCUCUAACAACCCGGGCAGUUAUUCUGUCCACGUAAGUACCGCUUACUAACCUGAUUACAGACGAGUGCUAUGCAAGGAACGCAUGUGAAGGAAGGCGUGGUAGUAACUGAACAGCACAGUGUAUAACUAAGUGCUAACAUGUGGCGUUUGCACAAAGAGUGAUGUAAGUGAAAGACUCGGGAAAAGUCAACAGAGCAAAUGACUUAAAUGGAAACCCAAGGAGAGAAGUGGUGUCCUUCCAGCUAAGUGGAUAAUCUGAGUGAACUGUGGAAUCGGGGAUGGGCGUGGCACACUCAGGAGCUGGUGGGAAAGCCCUGGCUGGAAGGUAGCAAAAGGCACCUUGGUCUAGAGUCUUCAAGGGGCGGCUGGUGUUUUCCAAAGGAUUCUGUGAAAUGUUUUAAGGUGGGGUGGGGGGAGGGUAAAGUAGGAAUCUCAUGCUCAGAUAAAGGUGUGUGCUAUGCUAACUAUACAGUAUGAAUUUCCAAAAGUUUUCUAAACUUAUUUGAUUAUAGAACUUUUUUCCACAAGGCUGAGGAACCCGUGCUCCAAGGAAACACCACCUGUGGGUGAUGCACCAUGAUGGGGGUGGCGCACGCAGAGCAGACCCUGUCCUUGAAAUUACUUCUGCACCACUGAUAAAAAGGUGCGGGUAUUCUCGGACUAAGUGCCUAACGGCUGGUUUAGACAGUAAGCGGGCACUUAGAGCAUGGUCGGCCCAGAGGCCCCGAGCAGGAGGCAGCCCCCAAAGAGGAGUGAGUCUCAGUAACAGGGAACGGCCGAAGGCCUGGAGGAGAGCGCAGAAAUGAAGCCGCAGGUCAGCAAGCGGCCAGCCGGUUUUGCCGGCACAGAAAGUUAAAGGUGACUACCUCGUGCUUCCCUCCCACAAAUCUGCGUGCUCCUACACACACGCUUGGGAUCCCUCGGCUUCCAGCCAGGCUUUUCCCACCAGCUGAUUAUAACUUCAUUGUGGUUUUUUUUGUUUUGGGGGGGUUUUUUGGCUACACCAUGUGGUUUGCAAGAUCUUAGUUCCCCCACCAGGGAUGGAACCUGGGCCCUUGGCAGUAAAAGUGCAGAGUCCUAACCUCUGGACCGCCAGGGAUUCCCAGGACAUAUUCUUUAGUACAGCUUUAAGUAGGUUAAAAAACAAUCCCCAACUUACAAACGAGUGAGUGUUCAACUGAAGUGCAGUUGCGUAGCACUCAGAAUGGACCGCCCCAUGAGCAGAAAAACUAUA